UACAGAGGGGGCAAGCGUUGUUCGGAAUUACUGGGCGUAAAGGGCGCGUAGGCGGCCUGCUAAGUCGAACGUGAAAUCCCUGGGCUCAACCCAGGAACUGCGUCCGAUACUGGUUGGCUUGAAUCCGGGAGAGGGAUGCGGAAUUCCAGGUGUAGCGGUGAAAUGCGUAGAUAUCUGGAGGAACACCGGUGGCGAAGGCGGCAUCCUGGACCGGCAUUGACGCUGAGGCGCGAAAGCCAGGGGAGCAAACGGG
rnacentral:rRNA from 1 species